AUUGGUGAAAUGCUCUAUAUAAGUCAUUUCCUUUACUAGAGAGGGAAAAUAGACUUUCCGUCCCUAGGGAAAAGUCUUUCCCUCAUUCGUAAAGGAAAACAUCAUACUACACUCGAGAAAUAAUUUGAUAUUUCGUAUCACGAUGAGUAAAAGUACCUCGGGCUAAAGCGCUCGGACCACUUUUACUCAUCUGGAUACGAAAUAU